UAAUUUUUUAUGAUUUAUUUAUGUAUAUGAAAGUCAGAGUUACACAGAGAGAGGAGAGGCAGAGAGAGAGUGGUCUUCCAUCUGAUGGUUCACUUCCCAAUUGGCCGCAAUGGCCAGAGCUGCUCUGAUCCGAAGCCAGGAGCCAGGAGCUUCUUCUGGGUCUCCCAUGCAGGUGCAGGGCCCCAAGGACUUGGGCCAUCUUCCACUGCUUUCCCAGGCCAUAGCAGAGAGCUGGAUUGGAAGUGGAACAGACGUGACUCGAACCAGUGCUCAUAUGGGAUGCUGGUGCUCCAGGCCAUGGAGUUAAUCUGCUGCACCACAGCGCUGGCCCCUCCUCUGAUUUUAAAAGAGUUCUUUGCACUGAACUUGAACUGAUUACAGAGAUUUUGGAUAAACCUAGCUACAAAAGCCAGUACUGGCAUGCGUAAGUAAGCGACUUUGGUGUAUGUUGUACUAUGUUUGUGAGUUUUUAUGGAAAUGAGUAUAAGAUUAAUUUUUUGUAUUUCCUUUUUCAGAGGAGAAGAAAGUGAUUCUUGGUGCAAUAUUGAAAUUUCCCUGAAACAAAUCUUUCUGACUCUCUUCUCUUUUAAAGUAUGUACUUCAAAUAAACUACAAAUUUAUGUAAUUUGUAUUUAUUAU
rnacentral:lncRNA from 1 species